rnacentral:rRNA from 1 species
UGGCUCAGGACCGAACGCUGGCGGCGUGCCUAAUACAUGCAAGUAGAACGCUGAAGAGAGGAGCUUGCUCUUCUUGGAUGAGUUGCGAACGGGUGAGUAACGCGUAGGUAACCUGCCUUGUAGCGGGGGAUAACUAUUGGAAACGAUAGCUAAUACCGCAUAACAAUGGAUGACCCAUGUCAUUUAUUUGAAAGGGGCAAAUGCUCCACUACAAGAUGGACCUGCGUUGUAUUAGCUAGUAGGUGAGGUAACGGCUCACCUAGGCGACGAUACAUAGCCUUCCUGAGAGGGAAUCGGCCACACUGGGACUGAGACACGC